ACUUAUAACUAAGAGUCAAAGGAAAUCAGAUUUAACCCCAAAACCUUGAAAUUGUGAAGCAACUUAAAAUUUUCGUUCAAAGUGUUCCCAAUGUUCUAAAAUCACCAAAAAGAUUACAAGAUGCCUCCUCAAUUCGUAAAAACCAAAUUUGGAAAUUUUGGGCUCAAAAUGUAUACGAGUUUUUUCUUGGGCUUACUUCAGACUUUGAUUUUUUUGGGCUCAGAUUUGUGAUUGGCUUUGGCUAUUUUUG
rnacentral:lncRNA from 1 species